ensembl:lncRNA
ACAAAAAUUUCAGAUUAUGAAGUCAUGCUUUCUGUAGUCCUUAAGGAAAUUUAGGGAACAGAGACCCAAAAUUGGUGGGAGAGGCUAGAGAAAAGAGAUGACCUGUGUCUCCAGAUGCAGUGUUGGGGGGUGAGGAGUGCAGGACCCAAAGGAGCAGGACGCCUGGAUGUGCAGUGUGCCACUGGUUGCUGGAAAAUAUGGAAAUGAAACCUACAGUAAGCAGUUGGUCUUCUAUGUGUCUGACUGGAUCUCAUCACAAAGGAAUCACUGUCUGUGACAGUCAAGUGGCUCUUAACUCCUUAACAAGACUAAUAAAACCUUACUUGUCCAGACAGGAUGCUACACAGAAAUUAAUGCCAUCUAGCAAAGUCCAAGCCAAAUGCCUCCCACCAGGACAGCCUCUCCUGGAAAGCUGUACCUGGCCCCACAGGUCUCUCCCUCCUCAGACCCAUGACAAAUAACAUUAUUUGUUUAGUGGAUCACCGUGCUUGAACAUCUCUUCUUGAGAUAUUAUUUUGGCUCUUUUAUUUUUUAGUUACUAAUAUGUUCAUGUUUUAGUUGCCCACCUAGGUGAUAAGGGAGUUGGUUUAAAGUUGCAAUCACCUCUUGAGAGCAAGCCUUGCCCGGCCUUUUGCUUCUUGCACAUGGAAGGUUCUCGGUAAAUAUUUAUUGACCUUGACUUAAUUAAUUCCUCUCUCUGGCUCAGGACAAGGGUCACAAGGAUGGCCAUUUUCCAUCUCACUAUUUGUUUUCCUAACAGCCCUUUUUUCAAUGAAUCUAUUUGUCUGUGUGUGAAGAAUUUGGCUAUCCAUACCCCCUUCCCAACUUCUGGCCAUAGGCCCUGUCCAAGUUGCCUUAUGUGGUUGAGUUUUGCCAACUUACUUCAAAGGUCUAGACUUUUGAACAAAAGGCACAACAGGCCAGGCAGGACAACCCGGCAACAUAGCCGAAUAUAAAUGCAUCUGAGAAUGAGAUGCAGAUUCUCCCCGUCACCACAGCAUGGUGCUUCGAGGGCCUUUGGUGCGCUUGAAGAAACCCCAGACCCUUUUCUUAGAGCUUUGAUGUGCCAUUGGAACUAAUGCACAGCAGGGCAUGGCACCCUGUUUUGAAUUUAAGCCAUCCUGUUGAAUUUGAGCAAAACUCCUUUUACAGGAGAAUUAAACAAUAACCACAUCACAGGGAAGUCUUCAAGUAGCAGCAAACAUCUGCUGCAAGUAGAGUGACAAGCACAUGGUCCUAAUGACCCACAGCCCCCACUGAAGAAAUGCAGAUGUCUAUAUAAAGGAAGAAUUUUGUUUGCAAGAUGCUUUGGGUCUGGACUGGUUGUUUGGCUCAUGUUAAAUGGAGGGAACUUUGCAAUCUAUUGAAAGAAGCCAUGUUGUCUCCACCCUGCAGGGCCAAAUUGUUUCCUUGCUCCUCCUCGCUUCCUGACUGAUGAAGUAAGUCUUGGUCUAUCCCAAUCAGUGAGUGAAGCAUGACCAGCAAUGCACACGCCAGACCUGCUGUUGCUAGUGCAGACUUUAAAUAAAGCCCAGAGUAGUAGUUCA